rnacentral:rRNA from 1 species
CCGACGACGACGACCGCCGCGCAGGAAGGAAGGUUUAGGUAGUCGUAAACUAGCUUUUCUCGGGGAAGAGAGAGGACGGUACCCGAGGAAGAAGCCCCGGCUAACUACGUGC